GACGAACGCUGGCGGCGUGCCUAAUACAUGCAAGUAGAACGCUGAAGAGAGGAGCUUACUCUUCUUGGAUGAGUUGCGAACGGGUGAGUAACGCGUAGGUAACCUGCCUUGUAGCGGGGGAUAACUAUUGGAAACGAUAGCUAAUACCGCAUAACAAUGGAUGACACAUGUCAUUUAUUUGAAAGGGGCAAUUGCUCCACUACAAGAUGGACCUGCGUUGUAUUAGCUAGUAGGUGAGGUAAUGGCUCACCUAGGCGACGAUACAUAGCCGACCUGAGAGGGUGAUCGGCCACACUGGGACUGAGACACGGCCCAGACUCCUACGGGAGGCAGCAGUAGGGAAUCUUCGGCAAUGGGGGCAGCCCUGACCGGGCAACGCCGCGGGAGUGAAGAAGGUUUUCGGAUCGUAAAGCUCUGUUGUAAGUCAAGAACGGGUGUGAGAGUGGAAAGUUCACACUGUGACGGUAGCUUACCAGAAAGGGACGGCUAACUACGUG
rnacentral:rRNA from 1 species